GACGAACGCUGGCGGCGUGCUUAACACAUGCAAGUCGAACGGAAAGGCCCUGCUUUUGUGGGGCGCUCGAGUGGCGAACGGGUGAGUAACACGCGAGUAACCUGCCCUUGACUUUGGGAUAACUUCAGGAAACUGGGGCUAAUACCGGAUAGGAGCUCCUGCUGCAUGGUGGGGGUUGGAAAGUUUCGGCGGUUGGGGAUGGACUCGCGGCUUAUCAGCUUGUUGGUGGGGUAGUGGCUUACCAAGGCUUUGACGGGUAGCCGGCCUGAGAGGGUGACCGGCCACAUUGGGACUGAGAUACGGCCCAGACUCCUACGGGAGGCAGCAGUGGGGAAUAUUGCACAAUGGGCGGAAGCCUGAUGCAGCAACGCCGCGUGCGGGAUGACGGCCUUCGGGUUGUAAACCGCUUUCGCCUGUGACGAAGCGUGAGUGACGGUAAUGGGUAAAGAAGCACCGGCUAACUACGUG
rnacentral:rRNA from 1 species